GUCCACGCCCUAAACGAUGUCAACUGGUUGUUGGGUCUUCACUGACUCAGUAACGAAGCUAACGCGUGAAGUUGACCGCCUGGGGAGUACGGCCGCAAGGUUGAAACUCAAAGGAAUUUACGGGGACCCGCACAAGCGGUGGAUGAUGUGGUUUAAUUCGAUGCAACGCGAAACCUUACCCACCUUUGACAUGUACGGAAGUCGCUAGAGAUAGCUUCGUGCUCGAAAGAGAGCCGUAACACAGGUGCUGCAUGGCUGUCGU
rnacentral:rRNA from 1 species